AGAGUUUGAUUAUGGCUCAGAUUGAACGCUGGCGGCAUGCCUAACACAUGCAAGUCGAGCGGUAGCACACAGAAGCUUGCUUCUUGGGUGACCAGCGGGGGACGGGUGAGAAACGCGUGGGAAUCUCCCUGGUCGUGGGGGACAACAGUCGGAAACAACUGCUGAUACCGCAUACUCUCUUCGGGGGAAAGAGGGGGAUCUUCGGACCUCCCCCUAUGAGAUGAUCCCGCUUCGGAUUAUCUUGUUGGUGAGGAAAAGGCUCACCAAGGCUAUGAUCCGUCCCUGGUCUGAGAGGAUGACCAGCCACACUGGGACUGAGACACGGCCCAAACUCCUACGGGAGGCAGCAGUGGGGAAUAUUGGACAAUGGGGGAAACCCUGAUCCAGCCAUGCCGCGUGUGUGAAGAAGGCCUUCGGGUUGAAAAGCACUUUCAUCUGUGAGGAAAGGCAGGACGUUAAUCCCCGCUUGCUGUGACGUUAACACCAGAACAAGGACCGGCUUACUCCGUGCCAGCCGCCGCGGUAAUACGGAGGGUCCGAGCGUUAAUCGGAAUUACUGGGCGUAAAGCGCGCGUAGGUGGUUCAGUCAGUCAGAUGUGAAAGCCCCGGGCUCAACCUGGGAACUGCACCUGAUACUGNUGAGCUAGAGUACGGUAGAGGGUAGUGGAAUUUCCGGUGUAGCGGUGAAAUGCGUAGAGAUCGGAAGGAACACCAGUGGCGAAGGCGACUACCUGGACCGAUACUGACACUGAGGUGCGAAAGCGUGGGUAGCAAACAGGAUUAGAUACCCUGGUAGUCCACGCCGUAAACGAUGUCAACUAGCCGUUGGGGGACUUGAUCCUUUAGUGGCGAAGCUAACGCGAUAAGUUGACCGCCUGGGGAGUACGGCCGCAAGGUUAAAACUCAAAUGAAUUGACGGGGGCCCGCACAAGCGGUGGAGCAUGUGGUUUAAUUCGAAGCAACGCGAAGAACCUUACCUACUCUUGACAUCCAGAGAACUUUCCAGAGAUGGAUUGGUGCCUUCGGGAACUCUGAGACAGGUGCUGCAUGGCUGUCGUCAGCUCGUGUUGUGAAAUGUUGGGUUAAGUCCCGUAACGAGCGCAACCCUUAUCCUUAUUUGCCAGCGAGUAAUGUCGGGAACUCUAAGGAGACUGCCGGUGACAAACCGGAGGAAGGUGGGGAUGACGUCAAGUCAUCAUGGCCCUUACGAGUAGGGCUACACACGUGCUACAAUGGCCGGUACAGAGGGCUGCAAACUCGCGAGAGUAAGCUAAUCUCACAAAACCGGUCGUAGUCCGGAUCGCAGUCUGCAACUCGACUGCGUGAAGUCGGAAUCGCUAGUAAUCGUGAAUCAGAAUGUCACGGUGAAUACGUUCCCGGGCCUGUACACACCCCCGUC
rnacentral:rRNA from 1 species